AGUGAACGCUGGCGGUAGGCCUAACACAUGCAAGUCGAACGGCAGCACAGUAAGAGCUUGCUCUUACGGGUGGCGAGUGGCGGACGGGUGAGGAAUACAUCGGAAUCUACUUUUUCGUGGGGGAUAACGUAGGGAAACUUACGCUAAUACCGCAUACGACCUACUGGUGAAAGCAGGGGAUCUUCGGACCUUGCGCGAUUGAAUGAGCCGAUGUCGGAUUAGCUAGUUGGCGGGGUAAAGGCCCACCAAGGCGACGAUCCGUAGCUGGUCUGAGAGGAUGAUCAGCCACACUGGCACUGAGAAACGGUCCAGACUCCUACAGGAGGCAGCAGUGGGGAAUAUUGGACAAUGGGGGAAAGCCUGAUACAGCCAUACGGCGUGGGUGAAGAAGGCCUUAGGGUUGUAAAGCCAUUUUGUUGGGAAAGAAAAGCAGCAGGUUAAUACCCCGCUGUUCUGACGGUACCCAAAGAAUAAGCACCGGCUAACUUCGUG
rnacentral:rRNA from 1 species